AAUAUGGAGAGUUUGAUCCUGGCUCAGAGUGAACGCUGGCGGCGUGCCUAAUACAUGCAAGUCGAACGGAGAUUAAGUAGCUUGCUAUUUAAUCUUAGUGGCGCACGGGUGAGUAAUAUAUAGCUAAUCUGCCCUACACUAGAGGACAACAGUUGGAAACGACUGCUAAUACUCUAUACUCCUUCUUUACAUAAGUUAAGUCGGGAAAGUUUUUCGGUGUAGGAUGAGGCUAUAUCGUAUCAGCUAGUUGGUAGGGUAACGGCCUACCAAGGCUAUGACGCGUAACUGGUCUGAGAGGAUGAUCAGUCACACUGGAACUGAGACACGGUCCAGACUCCUACGGGAGGCAGCAGUAGGGAAUAUUGCUCAAUGGGGGAAACCCUGAAGCAGCAACGCCGCGUGGAGGAUGACACUUUUCGGAGCGUAAACUCCUUUUCUUGGGAAAGAAUUAUGACGGUACCCAAGGAAUAAGCACCGGCUAACUCCGUGCCAGCAGCCGCGGUAAUACGGAGGGUGCAAGCGUUACUCGGAAUCACUGGGCGUAAAGGACGCGUAGGCGGAUUAUCAAGUCUCUUGUGAAAUCUAACGGCUUAACCGUUAAACUGCUUGGGAAACUGAUAAUCUAGAGUAAGGGAGAGGCAGAUGGAAUUCUUGGUGUAGGGGUAAAAUCCGUAGAGAUCAAGAAGAAUACCCAUUGCGAAAGCGAUCUGCUGGAACUUAACUGACGCUAAUGCGUGAAAGCGUGGGGAGCAAACAGGAUUAGAUACCCUGGUAGUCCACGCCCUAAACGAUGUAUACUAGUUGUUGCUUCGCUAGUCGAGGCAGUAAUGCACCUAACGGAUUAAGUAUACCGCCUGGGGAGUACGGUCGCAAGAUUAAAACUCAAAGGAAUAGACGGGGACCCGCACAAGCGGUGGAGCAUGUGGUUUAAUUCGAAGAUACGCGAAGAACCUUACCCGGACUUGAUAUCUAACAAAUCAUCCAGAGAUGGAAGAGUGUCUGCUUGCAGAAAUGUUAAGACAGGUGCUGCACGGCUGUCGUCAGCUCGUGUCGUGAGAUGUUGGGUUAAGUCCCGCAACGAGCGCAACCCACGUCAUUAGUUGCUAACGGUUCGGCCGAGCACUCUAAUGAGACUGCCUUCGUAAGGAGGAGGAAGGUGUGGACGACGUCAAGUCAUCAUGGCCCUUAUGUCCGGGGCGACACACGUGCUACAAUGGCGUAUACAAUAAGACGCAAUAUCGCGAGAUGGAGCAAAUCUAUAAAAUACGUCCCAGUUCGGAUUGGAGUCUGCAACUCGACUCCAUGAAGCCGGAAUCGCUAGUAAUCGUAGAUCAGCCAUGCUACGGUGAAUACGUUCCCGGGUCUUGUACUCACCGCCCGUCACACCAUGGGAGUUGAUUUCACUCGAAGCCCAAAUACCAAACCGGUUAUGGUCCACAGUGGAAUCAGCGACUGGGGUGAAGUCGUAACAAGGUAACCGUAGGAGAACCUGCGGUUGGAUCACCUCCUUU
rnacentral:rRNA from 1 species